rnacentral:rRNA from 1 species
UACGUAGGGGGCAAGCGUUAAUCGGAAUUACUGGGCGUAAAGCGUGCGCAGGCGGUGAUGUAAGACAGGUGUAAAUCCCCGGGCUUAAACUGGGAACUGCAUUUGUGACUGCAUCGCUGGAGUGCGGCAGAGGGGGAUGGAAUUCCGCGUGUAGCAGUGAAAUGCGUAGAUAUGCGGAGGAACACCGAUGGCGAAGGCAAUCCCCUGGGCCUGCACUGACGCUCAUGCACGAAAGCGUGGGGAGCAAACAGG